rnacentral:tRNA from 1 species
AAUAUGAUGCCUGAUAAAAGGAAUAUUUUGAUAGAAUAUUACAUGGAAAUCCUAAUUUCCUCAUAUUA